UCUUUUGUUUGGUAAUCAGGAUUGUAAAUUUGUGGGGUGUGCCUCGCAUUUAUCAAACAGAUUGCAGGCACUGAGAGGAAUGAGGCGGAAGCGGGUCGAAUUCAAGUUGUUCGACUCAAGAAUAAAAGAUUUAGAAGUGACUUGAAAGGAAGAAAAUAAAUAAAUUUAGAAAAUAACAAAGGAAAUAAGAAAAAAAUAAAAAAUAAAAAAUAAAAAAAAGGAUAAAGGAUAAAUAUUCAAAAUAAUAACUAAAUAGCAAAAAGAUGGAUUAAAGC
rnacentral:lncRNA from 1 species